rnacentral:rRNA from 1 species
AGUCGAGGGGCAGCAUAAAACAAGCUUGCUUGUUUGGUGGCGACCGGCGCACGGGUGCGUAACGCGUAUGCAACCUACCCUGUACUGGGGGAUAGCCCGGAGAAAUUCGGAUUAAUACCCCAUAGCACUUAAGAAUGGCAUCAUUUUUAAGUUAAAGAUUACGGUACAGGAUGGGCAUGCGUCCCAUUAGCUAGAUGGUAAGGUAACGGCUUACCAUGGCAACGAUGGGUAGGGGGCCUGAGAGGGUGGUCCCCCACACUGGUACUGAGACACGGACCAGACUCCUACGGGAGGCAGCAGUGAGGAAUAUUGGUCAAUGGGCGCAAGCCUGAACCAGCCAUGCCGCGUGCAGGAAGACGGUCCUAUGGAUUGUAAACUGCUUUUAUUUGAGAAUAAACCUAUUUACGUGUAGAUAGCUGAAGGUACCAAAUGAAUAAGCACCGGCUAACUCCGUGCCAGCAGCCGCGGUAAUACGGAGGGUGCAAGCGUUAUCCGGAAUCAUUGGGUUUAAAGGGUCCGCAGGCGGAUUUAUAAGUCAGUGGUGAAAGCCUACAGCUCAACUGUAGAACUGCCAUUGAUACUGUAAGUCUUGAAUUCGGUCGAAGUGGGCGGAAUAUGACAUGUAGCGGUGAAAUGCUUAGAUAUGUCAUAGAACACCGAUAGCGAAGGCAGCUCACUAGGCCUGGAUUGACGCUCAGGGACGAAAGCGUGNGGAGCAAACAGGAUUAGAUACCCUGGUAGUCCACGCCGUAAACUAUGAUUACUCGUUUUCAGCGAUAUACUGUUGGAGACUAAGCGAAAGUGAUAAGUAAUCCACCUGGGGAGUACGAUCGCAAGGUUGAAACUCAAAGGAAUUGACGGGGGCCCGCACAAGCGGNGGANCAUGUGGUUUAAUUCGAUGAUNCGCGAGGAANCCUUACCAGGGCUUAAAUGCANAACGCAUGAAGNNGAAACAUUUCAG